UACAGAGGUCCCAAGCGUUGUUCGGAUUCAUUGGGCGUAAAGGGUGCGUAGGCGGCGCGGUAAGUCGGGUGUGAAAUCUCGGGGCUUAACUCCGAAACUGCAUUCGAUACUGCCGUGCUUGAGGACUGGAGAGGAGACUGGAAUUUACGGUGUAGCGGUGAAAUGCGUAGAUAUCGUAAGGAAGACCAGUGGCGAAGGCGGGGCUCUGGGCCGUUCCUGACGCUGAGGCACGAAGGUCAGGGGAGCAAACGGG
rnacentral:rRNA from 1 species